GCCCUGCGUAUAGCACACCUCCACGUGGUGUAGGGCGGGUAAUGCUAAGAUGCUAUG
rnacentral:ribozyme from 1 species